AGCCCUGCUCUGGGAAGGCGCCAUUCUGAGGGCCAGGAGUUUGAUUAUGAGUCACUCUGGCUGCUAUGGCCCCUCCCAGGGCCUGGGG
rnacentral:pre_miRNA from 1 species